GUGCUGGCUUCAUCAGGCAGCACAUCCACUGCAACUGGAGAGGUACAGCAAAGGUUAACGUGGCCCCUGCACAAGGCUGGCACGAAAAUUUAGGAAACAUUCCGUAUUCUU
ensembl:snRNA U6 U6 spliceosomal RNA